ensembl:misc_RNA
UAUCGGAGAAUAAUUUCUCUUUUUUUAGUCACUUACCACCACGGAUGAAGUUAGACGGUUGCGGAUAC